rnacentral:snoRNA from 1 species
AUUCCAUGAUGAGGACAUUCUGUAAUAUAAUCUUGAAAAUGUUCCCAUGCCUCGGUGAAUGAUUCAUCAUGUUGUUGAUGAAACCUUGAGAUUUUGCCACAUAGAGC